CAGGAUGCUGACCUCCAAGAAAAGGGAUUUAGCCUAGAAGAUGAGACUGUUGGCUCUACUGUACCUAGUGACAGCCCUUUAUGGUUUCCUAUCCCAGAUCCAACUUCAGGAGUCAGGACCUGGCCUGGUUCAGUCAUCACAAUCACUGUCCCUCACUUGCUCUGUAUCUGAUUACUCCAUCACCAGUGGAAAUAGCUACUGGCACUGGGUCAGGCAGUCUCCAGAGAAGAAGCUGGAGUGGAUGGGGUACAUAACCUAUGGUGGUGGCAUCAACUACAACCCAUCCCUCAAGAGCCACAUCUCCACCACCAGAGAAACAUCCAAGAACAAUUUCUUCCUGCAUCUGAACUCUGUGACCAAUGAGGACACAGCCACAUAUUACUGUGCAAGAGACACAGUGAGGGGAUUUUAG